rnacentral:lncRNA from 1 species
CUGUUAACCAUUCAAGAUCCAAGAACAUCGGUUGGCUGCAAAACAGGCACCCUGAGGGACCAAUUAUGAAUCAGAAUGCACUUUAUCCCAGCCACAGAACGCAAAGGGUUACACUCUGCAGGAGCUGCGGUUGGGGAAGGGAAAGGGAGUAACCGGAUUCGCCUUGCCUGUCUGUGAUUGGGAAGCACGCACCCUUUAUUUUCCAACUGGGAACAAGAUACUGGAAAUUCCUCUUUCCCUUAGAAAACAGAAGGCAAGGGUGUUGGCUGUGGAAAUUAGAACUGAUGAGGCCAUGUGACUUCCUUUGAACAAUGAAUCAUGAGGAGGAUUGAUGAGUGUCACUUCUGGGCCAAAGCUUUAAGAACCUGCUCGUGGGUCUCCAUGUUCUCUGUUCUUCAUUUCUGCAAUCCUGGAAGCUUGUCCUGAGAUGAAGCGUCUGUCAUCUUUAUGUAUUCCAGAGUAUCUAUGAAGAUUACAGCAACCCUGAUGACUCAAGAUGGACAGGCAGU